GCGCCCGUAGCUCAAUUGGAUAGAGCGUCUGAUUACGGAUCAGGAGGUUGGGGGUUCGAGUCCCUCCGGGCGUG
rnacentral:tRNA from 2 species